UAUACUCAAUGUUAAAAACUUAAUUAAUUGAGAAAAUUUAAAAAUUAGAGAGUAAUUAAAGUAAAAGAUUAGAUAAAGGUUGGAAUGUAAUAACCCUUAGGCCCCGUUUGGUUCGGAGGAUAAGUGGGGAUAACGAAAGUUAUCCCCGCUAUUCCGUCAAACGGGAUAAUUUUUUGCCAGGAUAUUUUAUUUCAGUCAAAGCUUGCUAUUUCAGAUUAUCCCAGAAUAGCAAGUUUUUUUACUAUUCCAUCAUUUUGGUGGAAUAGUACCAUUCCAAUAUUUAAUUUCAAACUUAAUUAAAAUUAUAAAAUAAAUUAAAACUAAAUUAUAUAAAUAUAAUAUAAUAUAUAAUAUAUUAUAAUACAUUAUUUUUGUUAUAAACCUAAUUUUCAUCCAAACGUAAAAUUGAUCUAAUCCCUGCUUAUACCUCAAUUUAUAUAUAUGUCUGAAAUACCCACUUUUUUCUUAUUUCCGAGCCAAACGAUACCUUAGAAUAUAUGCAAUCACUUUCUCCGGUCUCUUCUUGCUUCUUAUGCAUGAAUUUUCAAUGUUUUGAAUUCCUUCUUGUACAAUCAAUCUUUGUUAAAUUAUAUAAAAUAAUCCUUUUUUUUUUUUUUUUCAAUAUUUUUUUUUGACAUUUGGACUCCGGACUUUUUAAUAUAGAGUAGGGCUACUAUACUCUUAUGAGUAUAGAGCCCUUCGUACUUAUAAGUUGUUUUCAAUGUUGGGUUUUUCGAAUCGACGAUCCAUACCAUUAAUAUGAUUUAAAGUAUUUAAAACUUUUAGAAAAUAAAUUUCGUAAGUUUUCGAAAUCAUUAUAAAGUCUAUUAAGCGGGAAUAAAAUGAACGGUUAAAAUCGAACGACAUCCUAAAAAUGGAUGAUCGGAUCCUUCAAUUUAAGAUUAGAGUUAUUGAUCUUUAUUUAGGUAGUGAAUAGAAUUUUCUAUCAAAAAUUCAACUUAUUCCGAAUCUUUUUUACCGUUAAACUAGCAAAUAUCUCAUACCGGCCGCUAAAAAUUGUUAAUUUUGUAAGCUUUUGAUCGUAAGGUAAAUGACGUCGAAAAUUUAUAAAAUUUGGUUUAUAGAAAUUUUAAAUGCUCUAAAUGAUGUUUAACGGUAUGGAUUGUUGAUUCAGAAGUUCUAUCAUCGAAAACAACUUAUGAGUACGUAGGCGAUCGUACGCAUAAGAGUAUAGUAGCCGGACUCUUUUAAUAUAUCGAAGACGUAAAUAUAAAUUAAAUAAAAAAAAAUUAAUAAUACUAUGCUAAAUUAUAUAAAAUAACCAUUUAUUUUUUAAAAGAUGUAUUAUUAAAAAAUAAUAUUUUUAAUUUUUAU
rnacentral:lncRNA from 1 species